rnacentral:rRNA from 1 species
AUUGAACGCUGGCGGCAUGCUUUACACAUGCAAGUCGAACGGCAGCGCGGGCUUCGGCCUGGCGGCUAGUGGCGAACGGGUGAGUAAUGCAUCGGAACGUGCCCAGUAGUGGGGGAUAGCCCGGCUAAAGCCGGAUUAAUACCGCAUACGACCUGAGUGUGAAAGCGGGGGACCGAAAGGCCUCGCGCUAUUGGAGCGGCCGAUGUCGGAUUAGCUAGUUGGUGGGGUAAAGGCUUACCAAGGCGACGAUCCGUAGCUGGUCUGAGAGGACGACCAGCCACACUGGGACGGAGACACGGCCCAGACUCCUACGGGAGGCAGCAGUGGGGAAUGUUGGACAAUGGGGGCAACCCUGAUCAAGCCAUGACGCGUGCGGGAAGAAGGCCUUCGGGUUGUAAACCGCUUUUGUGCGGGAAGAAAUCCUCUGGGCUAAUACCCCGGGGGGAUGACGGUACCGGAAGAAUAAGCACCGGCUAACUACGUG